AAUUUUAAGAGUUUGAUCCUGGCUCAGGAUGAACGCUGGCUGUGUGCCUAAUACAUGCAUGUCGAGCGAGGUUCUUUUGAACCUAGCGGCGAAUGGGUGAGUA
rnacentral:rRNA from 1 species